UUCCUACGGGGGGCAGCAGUGGGGAAUAUUGCACAAUGGGGGAAACCCUGAUGCAGCGACGCCGCGUGAGUGAAGAAGUAUUUCGGUAUGUAAAGCUCUAUCAGCAGGGAAGAAAAUGACGGUACCUGACUAAGAAGCCCCGGCUAACUACGUGCCAGCAGCCGCGGUAAUACGUAGGGGGCGAGCGUUAUCCGGAUUUACUGGGUGUAAAGGGAGCGUAGACGGUAGAGCAAGUCUGAAGUGAACGCCCGCGGCUCAACUGCGGGACUGCUUUGGAAACUGUUCAACUG
rnacentral:rRNA from 1 species